AUGGAGCACGCCGCGUGAGUGAUGAAGGUCUUCGGAUCGUAAAACUCUGUUAUUAGGGAAGAACAUACGUGUAAGUAACUGUGCACGUCUUGACGGUACCUAAUCAGAAAGCCACGGCUAACUACGUGCCAGCAGCCGCGGUAAUACGUAGGUGGCAAGCGUUAUCCGGAAUUAUUGGGCGUAAAGCGCGCGUAGGCGGUUUUUUAAGUCUGAUGUGAAAGCCCACGGCUCAACCGUGGAGGGGCAUUGGAAACUGGAAAACUUGAGUGCAGAAGAGGA
rnacentral:rRNA from 1 species